GCGAGUGAGUGCACGUAGCAAACCGCCUCGUCGAAAGGAGGAGAGAGAAACAAGUAUAUACGAGGGGCAGGGCCCCCCCUCCUCUCCCUUCGUCCAUUCCGAUCACUCGCUGCUCCCCUCUCUCGCCGGAGCGAGCCCCGGGCCGGAUGGCGGCGGCAGCAGCAGCUCCUCCCGCCUCCGCGAUCGCGUGAUGGACGCCGACGCCGACGCCGCCGCGAUCCGCCGAUGGACGACGCCGGAAGGGCACCACCACCCGCGCCAGCGGCGGUGACCGUCUCCGCCACCGCCGCACCCGCGCCUACCCCGCCCUCCGCCACGGCCGCCGCCGACAAGUCCUCCCUCGACCCCGACGCGCUUUAUGAAGAGGGGAUGUGGCAACAGAUGGCCAUGAACAGCGGUGCCACAAUGCAACCUGGGUCAUAUCCUGAGCGACCAGGUGAACCGGACUGCACUUACUACCUCAGGACUGGAUUGUGUCGAUUUGGCAUGAGCUGCAGGUUCAAUCAUCCUCCGGAUAGGAAUCUGGCUAUUGCCUCUGCCAGAAUGAAGGGAGAAUAUCCUGAGAGAGUGGGACAGCCAGAGUGUCAGUAUUAUCUGAAGACCGGAACAUGCAAGUUUGGUCCUACAUGCAAAUUUCACCAUCCCAGGGAAAAGGCCGGAAUUGCAGGGAGGGUGCAGCUAAACACAUUAGGAUAUCCACUUCUCCCGAAUGAAAAGGAGUGUGCGUAUUAUUUAAAAACAGGACAAUGUAAAUAUGCAAAUACUUGUAAAUUCCACCACCCAGAACUUUUCAAUGUGGUGCCUUCGUCACGUGGUUCACCUAUUUAUACUUCUGUACAUUCCUCUGCAAGCGCUGGUCCACAGUCAUAUACUGGAACUAUGUCAAGCUGGACUUUUCCACGAGCUUCUUUUAUACCAAGCCCUAGGUGGCAAAGUCCUUCAAAUUAUGCACCAAUGGUUGUACCUCAUGGCCUUGUCCAAGUGCCGAGCUGGAAUUCAUAUCCUGGUCAGCUGCAGUCACCUGGGGCUCAACAAACUUAUGGAAGUUCACAACAAGGCGAAGCUAGUGCAGGAAAUCAGGGAAUGCUAUCACCCUAUAGAUCCAGUUCAUUUCCUGUGCCUCAAUAUGCGUUGCAGAGAGAUAAUGUAUUUCCUGAGAGACCCGAUGAACCAGAAUGCCAAUAUUACAUGAAGACAGGAGAUUGUAAAUUUGGUGCAGUGUGCAAGUUCCAUCAUCCCCGUGUGAGAUCACAGCCCCCUCCGGAUUGUGUCUUAAGUCCAAUGGGUCUUCCAAUACGUCCAGGUGAAGAACUUUGCAAAUUCUAUUCUCGUUAUGGCAUCUGCAAGUUCGGCGCCAACUGUAAAUUUGAUCAUCCUACAAUGGCUGCUCCAAUGGGAGUUUAUGCAUAUGGUUUCUCUGGGUCUGCUUCUGUCGCACCCGCUUCAACUAAUGCACCUAUGACGCGACAUCUUCUUGGAUCUCCAUCAGGUUCUGGAUAUAUGUCUUAGGUGUCUUUUUUUUCAGUUGACCUACUUUGAUGUAUAAAAUCCACGGCAUCGCCUCAGGCGCUGUGAAUGUUUCUCCUAACUUCCCGCCGGGAUGAAGUUCUGUAAAUUGAGUUGCUGCUGGAGAUGUACAGCCCCCCCCCCCCCCCCCCCCCCCCCCCUCCCCAAUUAAUCCAGAACUUUGGGAAUAACUGUUGGAACCUAAUAAACUUCAGAUACAGAAACGCUGGUUUUCAGGUGUUUGCACUAUUUUGACACUGCUGCACCUAUGGUCCCUAACAGUUGAGGUAGGAAUUCUUCUGAAGGAGCUGAAACCUGUAGCUGCAGUGUAUCCCAGCCUACGGCUUCUGCCAAGACAGUAAACUCAGGACCUGUUUGGGACUGUUCCACUAUUCAAAAAAUGAAUUUGAAUCUGGGAUUCAUUAUUAAAGUUUCGCCGACGAAUCUGAGAUCCUUUUUAGAUAGCAGCUUAUUCACGUAAGGAUAUUCUGUCUGAAAUAGACUAAUUUAUUUUUAUGAUA